rnacentral:rRNA from 1 species
GGGGGAAUUUUCCGCAAUGGGCGAAAGCCUUACGGAGCAAUACCGCGUGAGGGAUGACGGCCUAUGGGUUGUAAACCUCUUUUUUCAGGGAGGAAUCAAGUGACGUGUACCUGAAGAAUAAGCAUCGGCUAACUCCGUGCCAGCAGCCGCGGUAAGACGGAGGAUGCAAGUGUUAUCCGGAAUCACUGGGCGUAAAGCGUCUGUAGGUGGUUGAAUAUGUCAGCUGUUAAAUCUUGAGGCUCAACCUCAAAAUCGCAGUCGAAACUGUUUGACUAGAGUAUAGUAGGGGUAAAGGGAAUUUCCAGUGGAGCGGUGAAAUGCGUAGAUAUUGGAAAGAACACCGAUGGCGAAGGCACUUUACUGGGCUAUUACUGACACUGAGAGACGAAAGCUAGGGUAGCAAAUGGGAUUAGAUACCCCAGUAGUCCUAGCCGUAAACAAUGGAUACUAGAUGUUGAACAGAUCGACCUGUGCAGUAUCAAAGCUAACGCGUUAAGUAUCCCGCCUGGGAAGUAUGCUCGCAAGAGUG